rnacentral:rRNA from 1 species
GCAUCCUGUCACCAGGUAGCUGCCUUCUGUACCCCCCAUUGUAACACGUGUGUAGCCCCGGACGUAAGGGCCGUGCUGAUUUGACGUCAUCCCCACCUUCCUCACAUCUUACGACGGCAGUCUCUCUAGAGUCCUCAGCAUGACCUGUUAGUAACUAAAGAUAAGGGUUGCGCUCGUUAUGGCACUUAAGCCGACACCUCACGGCACGAGCUGACGACAACCAUGCAGCACCUUCACAUUUGCCUUGCGGCUAACCUGUUUCCAGAUUAUUCAAAUGCAAUUUAAGCCCGGGUAAGGUUCCUCGCGUAUCAUCGAAUUAAACCACAUGUUCCUCCGCUUGUGCGGGCCCCCGUCAAUUCCUUUGAGUUUCACCGUUGCCGGCGUACUCCCCAGGUGGAAUACUUAAUGCUUUCGCUUGGCCGCUUACUGUAUAUCGCAAACAGCGAGUAUUCAUCGUUUACUGUGUGGACUACCAGGGUAUCUAAUCCUGUUUGAUACCCACACUUUCGAGCAUCAGUGUCAGUUGCAGUCCAGUGAGCUGCCUUCGCAAUCGGAGUUCUUCGUGAUAUCUAAGCAUUUCACCGCUACACCACGAAUUCCGCCCACCUCUACUGUACUCAAGACAGCCAGUAUCAACUGCNAAUUUUACGGUUGAGCCGCAAACUUUCACAACUGACUUAACUGUCCACCUACGCUCCCUUUAAACCCAAUAAAUCCGGAUAACGCUCGGAUCCUCCGUAUUACCGCGGCUGCUGGCACGGAGUUAGCCGAUCCUUAUUCAUAUGGUACAUACAAAAUUCCACACGUGGAAAACUUUAUUCCCAUAUAAAAGAAGUUUACAACCCAUAGGGCAGUCAUCCUUCACGCUACUUGGCUGGUUCAGGCCUGCGCCCAUUGACCAAUAUUCCUCACUGCUGCCUCCCGUAGGAGUUUGGACCGUGUCUCAGUUCCAAUGUGGGGGACCUUCCUCUCAGAACCCCUAUCCAUCGAAGGUUUGGUGAGCCGUUACCUCACCAACUGCCUAAUGGAACGCAUCCCCAUCGAUAACCGAAAUUCUUUAAUAAUAAGACCAUGCGGUCUAAUUAUGCCAUCGGGUAUUAAUCUUUCUUUCGAAAGGCUAUCCCCGAGUUAUCGGCAGGUUGGAUACGUGUUACUCACCCGUGCGCCGGUCGCCAUCU